UACGUAGGGGGCAAGCGUUGUCCGGAACCAUUGGGCGUAAAGAGCGUGUAGGCGGCCCGAUAAGUCCGCCGUGAAAGUCCAGGGCUCAACCCUGGAAUGCCGGUGGAAACUGUCGGGCUGGAGUCCGGAAGAGGCGAGUGGAAGUUCCUGGUGUAGCGGUGAAAUGCGCAGAUAUCGGGAGGAACACCAAUGGCGAAGGCAGCUCGCUGGGACGGUACUGACGCUGAGGCGCGAAAGCGUGGGGAGCAACAGG
rnacentral:rRNA from 1 species